UAGGGAAUCUUCCACAAUGGGCGCAAGCCUGAUGGAGCAACACCGCGUGAGUGAAGAAGAGUUUCGGCUCGUAAAGCUCUGUUGUUAAAGAAGAACACGUAUGAGAGUAACUGUUCAUACGUUGACGGUAUUUAACCAGAAAGUCACGGCUAACUACGUGCCAGCAGCCGCGGUAAUACGUAGGUGGCAAGCGUUAUCCGGAUUUAUUGGGCGUAAAGAGAGUGCAGGCGGUUUUCUAAGUCUGAUGUGAAAGCCUUCGGCUUAACCGGAGAAGUGCAUCGGAAACUGGAUAACUUGAGUGCAGAAGAGGGUAGUGGAACUCCAUGUGUAGCGGUGGAAUGCGUAGAUAUAUGGAAGAACACCAGUGGCGAAGGCGGCUACCUGGUCUGCAACUGACGCUGAGACUCGAAAGCAUGGGUAGCGAACAGGAUUAGAUACCCUGGUAGUCCAUGCCGUAAACGAUGAGUGCUAGGUGUUGGAGGGUUUCCGCCCUUCAGUGCCGGAGCUAACGCAUUAAGCACUCCGCCUGGGGAGUACGACCGCAAGGUUG
rnacentral:rRNA from 1 species